GAUGAACGCUAGCGGCAGGCUUAAUACAUGCAAGUCGAGGGGCAGCAUGAAUGUAGCAAUACAUUUGAUGGCGACCGGCAAACGGGUGCGGAACACGUACACAACCUUCCUAUAAGUGGGGAAUAGCCCAGAGAAAUUUGGAUUAAUACCCCGUAACAUAAUGAUGUGGCAUCACAUUAUUAUUAUAGCUACGGCGCUUAUUGAUGGGUGUGCGGCUGAUUAGAUAGUUGGCGGGGUAACGGCCCACCAAGUCUACGAUCAGUAGCUGAUGUGAGAGCAUGAUCAGCCACGCGGGCACUGGGACACGAGCCCGACUCCUACGGGAGGCAGCAGUAAGGAAUAUUGGUCAAUGGACGCAAGUCUGAACCAGCCAUGCCGCGUGAAGGAUUAAGGUCCUCUGGAUUGUAAACUUCUUUUAUCUGGGACGAAAAAAGGCGAUUCUUCGUCACUUGACGGUACCAGAUGAAUAAGCACCGGCUAACUCCGUGCCAGCCGCCGCUGUAACAC
rnacentral:rRNA from 1 species